rnacentral:lncRNA from 1 species
CUACUACAUCAAUCAGACCACAAGGUGCCCUUUCAGGAAAGUAAUGGAGUAUAAUCAACCUAACUUCAUUGAUCUACAAGGACUACUGAAAAUUAUAAAACUUUCUUUGGGAUUCUAACAUGCCAGAAACCACUAGAAAAAGAAGUUUGAUAUCUCAGAGGUUCUCCUCAUCGUGGUAUAGAGACCAAAAUGAUACUUUCAAACUCCCAAGGUCAUUAACUGAGGAAUAAUGCCAUCUGCACCAUGAGAGUCAGUUUUGAACAAGAAAGCCUGACAGGUUUCUCCGGAAAAGUGACCAUCCAUGGAAUGAAUGAAAUGUUCCCUUUCUAUUCCAGUAAGUAAUUGACUUGUAACUAAAAAUUGAACUGGCUGCUAUGUCAACUACAAUGUGAGCGGCUGCUGGCACAGGUGUUGCUUACUCUUUAGCCUGGAAAGAAAAGGGGCUUAACCUGUGAUUAAAUUUAAAGUCAAUUGACCUCAACAUGAGAGUACAUAAUUCUCACUUGCCUAUGGAAUGGCCUGAGUCUGUUUUAACCCCGAUUCUGGCACCUGUGUUUUUAAUGUUUGGAGUAGCUAAAGCUAGAGUUGCUCGUUUGGUUAGAAAUAAAGUGGGUGGAGAACAGUUCUAAGCAAAUAACAAAUGAUGGUCAGCCGACUAAGUCUUUAAUCCAGCGCUCAAUGUGUUCUUUUCUUUUAAUGCAUUAAUUGUAAGUUCGUGUAAAUUAUUAUUCAAACUUUUUUUAAAAAAUAUGGAUUCAUGGGCAACCAUUUUAUUACUAAGGAUACAGAGUAAAUCUAAAUCUGUGAAUUACUAACAAGCAAAGGAUGUGAGAAUGAUGACACUUUCAAAUGCUUAAGUUUGCUUAUGUAACCUAUCACAGGCUUUUUAAAUAAGCCUUGCACUUUAAAGAUUUUCUUAGCCCUAGGAAUGAAAUAGCAAUAUUGUUUUUCCAGGUUUCUGUAAAUUAACAAAAGACUGUUUACUUUUAGCAAGAUGACCUUGUUUGAGUUUUGGAGACAAACAUAUAUCUACUUCUCAAAAGCAAAAUAAAAAUCAAUGACAUCUAAAAUUACCAUUUACACUUGAAGCUAUUCUCCAUGCAUUUUAUGUAAAAUGACUGCAUGCUAAGAAUAAGUCUAUAAGGUGAGAACAGCCUAGACUGUUGUUUUUUCUUUCUCAUUUCCUUUUUAACCUGAGAAUUAGAAGAAAGUACUGAUGAUGCUUGCUUAACCCUGCUUUUAGUGCCAGGCUGUGACCAGCUCUCUGUGAAACCAUUUCUGACCCUCUGCUUGCAGUGGUGAACAUGAAUUUUUCCCCUUCCUUGCCCAUCACUGUCAGUCAAUUAUAGGAUUGAACUGAACCAGAAAAUCUGGUACAGUCUGGUAAUUAGUACAAAGGGUUUCCAGUCUAGUGUAAAGACGGGGAUGCAAGAGCCCCAGCAGUCACAGAAAUCGUUUUGAUUGGCCAUGGACAUUGCCUUUUAGUGCUGCUCGGUGACUUCCUAAAGAUAUUGCCUCCUACCCUACAGGUUUUCUCCUUCAAGUACAUUAUGGACCUUUUCAAAAGUCAUGUGUGUGUGUGUGUGUGUGUGUGUGUGCGCGUGUGCGUGCGUGCGUGCAUGUGUGUGUGUGUGUGUGUGUGUGUGUAUACGUUUCUUUUUUUAGAUCCAACUUCUCCCAUUUUUAGUCUGUCAUUUUUGCCUAUCAAACAGACACAUUUUGACUUGCCCAACAAAGAACCAAGUUAUCAACACUCACAGAAACUGACAUUUUUAAUUCAGGCUUCAUUAUGUCUUUGAAUUAUGACAGUGAAGUACAAAGACGUUUUAAGAGUUUUUUCAUUAUUUUUUUAAAUCCAGCAUUGGGAUGUUUAUCUUUCUUUAGUAUUCAUAUUUCCUUUUCUAUCUUUAUUCUCAGUAAUAUAUAAUUAGCAUUAUCAAAACCAUCAGCUAUUAUCCUUUAUGACUUUUGACCUUUAUUUUUUAAUAUGUCUCAAGCUAGCAUUCUCUAAAACAAAAAUUCUAUGAGAGAUAUUAACGAAAUAUUUUAGGGUUAUAAAAACAAUGAAAUGAUUUAAAACAUGAAUCUUUUUAAAUAUCAACAUUACAUGAAUAGGCAAGUAACACAUUAUAUGAUAAAACUAUAGUGACAAAAUAAAUUUCAGAAAAAAAUUAUUCUGUAAAUCAAGCUUGCAUUUGGUGGUAAGUGUAACUUUAUAGUCUGUAGUUCAUCACACAUUUUUAACCACUACUAUGGAGUUAUUGGCUUAAUGUCAAUGGUAUUUAUAUACUUUUUGCAGAAAAAGUAAUUUUUUGUACUAAUUACCAGACUGUACCAGAUUUUUUGCAAACAUCCUCUUUGACUAUAGAUUACAAAAACUCAGUAGUCACACAUUAGAUACAACAAAAGUGUUUGGUAGCUUGUCAUUUUAACAAAUGCUGGCCUUCAAAAGAUAGAUAUAAGUACAUCUAAGGGCAAAUUUAAUGUCUGACACUCUGUGCAAAACUGCAAAAGCAACAGUGCCCAAAAUAACAGAAGCAAAAGAAAGCACAAGGUUUUCCAUUUCCAAGAAUGCUAUUCUAGCACAAUCUGCAUCAUGAUUUUAGUCAUGAUGCAUAUGUGCUGUGAAUCUUUUAAAGGAUCAUUUAUUUACCCACAUCUUAAUGUAGCUUUAAAUAUCUGUUUUAUCCUACAUACAAUCUUAACAAAAGUAGUUAUGUUACCAUGUCUGGUACUUAUUUCUACAUGUCUGAAUUUUGCUAUUAAAUUUCAAGAAGGUUAAUAUUGCUUUUGUAACCCUGUCAUGAGUAAUGCAUUUUCCCAGUAAACAUGUCAUACUUUUAAAAGCUGUUCAAGAAGCAGUAUUUCUGUUGAAAGUUUUGUGUUUAUUUCUCUAUUGUUUUUUUAACCAUAAUAUAGUGUAAUGCUUUGAAAAGAAUACGCAUAUUUAUGUAAUUAACAUUUUUUGUUUUCAGCAAAACCUUGCCCAUUAAAAACGAGAAGAGUCUUAGAAAACCAUAUAAAUGGGCAACGUUUCAGUGACAAUAUUUGCAUUCAAUUUUAAUUCACCACCGAGUCUAUAUCUUGAAAUGUAUCUAUAAAGGACUGAAGGAAGAGUACAUUCUGAUAAUAGUUUUAUUUUUUAAUCUAAAAUAUAUGUUGAAAUUCCAAAGGUGCUUGCCACAUGUGGUAUGGCAGUAUUCUAUGUUCCAUUAUAUCUGAAUGCUUUGUGGGUCUGUAUAAUAUUACAGGCUUUAAUAUGGAUAUAAACAUUCUUUUCUACCUCAGCCUUACUCCUAGUGGCAGGAGUAAGGCUUGGGAAAAACUCUAAAGAUUAUCCAGUCUCAUGAUUUUCAAACUGUGUUCCCUUGAGCUCUUAGGCUCUUUGGGGCUACUUAGGGCUGUGGGGGAAGGGAGACCAAUUGGCCUCUUACCUCCUGCCUUUAUCUGCUGUGUCUAUUAGAGCCCCACGUAAAAUUGGAAUCCCAUGAUGGAGGGAAAAAGUAAAAUACUAUUGACUGAGCCUCUCUUACAGAUAAGGAAAGCAGAGUUUACUUAAAGUGGCACUCUGAAUCAGUGACAACCAACCACUUGUCCCUUAGUCUUAAACCUACUAAACUGCAAUAAACUUUUCCUACACAGUUAUGGGUCUUUUUGUAUUGUCAUCCUAAACAGCAUUACUAAAAACACACACUAAGAUAUCUAUAGCCCAGUGUUCAAAAUCAAGAUAUUUACUGAGGAUACAAUAUCAAGGUAGGUAAUGCAAUUGAGUAAAAUGUUGCAGACCAAAAUCAAGCCCUCUAUUUGGCAAUACAUUAAAUUUGGUGCAUUACUGUAGACUUUAUGUAAAAUAUUGAUUCAUUUAUUACUUAGUAAUAUUUUGUAUUUUUAAAUUUUCAAUUGUGGUUGAAAAAAACACAUCUAAACCAUUUUUUUAAGUGUAAAGUUCAAUACUUAACUAUAUUCACAUUUUUGUACCUGGGGGUAUCUUGCAUGGUGGGAAAAAUUAAUUAAUUAAGACAAAUUCAAAAGAAAAAGAAUUAAAGAAAGUAAAGCUGAAUUAAGAUGCUACUUUUCUCAAAGCAUGUAUUAUGGAAACAUGUUUUAUGGAAACUAUUCCUAUAAGAUGUGCAAAGUAAAAGAGUGACAUGGUCAAAUAAUCUUUGGAAAUAUAGCAUGUUAUGUCCCUUUAUAAGAAAUUUAUAGACUUGUAUUUUAAAAACUCUGAGAAAUCAUAUUGGAAAGAUCUCUUUGAACUAUGUAUACUAGAGUUUCCUAAACAAUUUUUCCAUAGACUUUCCUCACCUAUUUCACAUAAAAAAUCUAUUUUUAUUCUUCAGGGCUAAUGUUUUAUUGAAUACAUUUUGGGAAACUUUCCUCUAACAGCACUUUUGCACAUUAAAAAAAAAAAGAUCUGUAAGGUACUAUUUAAGUUAUUUAUGUUAAAUGGUUCUGAAUUUACCAAUCCUUCAUCCUCAUUUUGUGGAUAUUAAUGGACAUCCAUUAAUUCAAUCACCCAGCAGAUAUUUACGGACAGUGCUAAAUGCUAGGAAAUACAGUAAUGAGUAAAUCAAUCUUAUCUUAUAGAGCUUAACGUCCAGGGGAAAAAAAUCACAAAGAGAGAGGGAGAGAGGAAAAA